AAGACUAUACUUUCAGGGAUCAUUUCUAUAGUUUCUGACUUGAGAAAUGUGUUUCUAAAGUGUGUGGUCUCGCUAACCACGAUGAAGAGUCAUGAUAUUCCUUUCUGAGCGUGAGGCGGAUAGAGAAUAAUGAUUUGGUUCAUAUGUUCUUUAUCAUUGAUGACCGGUCUUUACUUCCUUGUGGAGUAAUGAGGAAGGGAAUAUGAUCAGAGUGGU
ensembl:snoRNA U3 Small nucleolar RNA U3